GCACAAGCGGUGGAUGAUGUGGUUUAAUUCGAUGCAACGCGAAAACCUUACCCACCUUUGACAUGUACGGAAUCCUUUAGAGAUAGAGGAGUGCUCGAAAGAGAGCCGUAACACAGGUGCUGCAUGGCUGUCGUCAGCUCGUGUCGUGAGAUGUUGGGUUAAGUCCCGCAACGAGCGCAACCCUUGUCAUUAGUUGCUACAUUCAGUUGGGCACUCUAAUGAGACUGCCGGUGACAAACCGGAGGAAGGUGGGGAUGACGUCAAGUCCUCAUGGCCCUUAUAGGUGGGGCUACACACGUCAUACAAUGGAUGGUACAAAGGGUCGCCAACCCGCGAGGGGGAGCCAAUCCCAUAAAGCCAUUCGUAGUCCGGAUCGCAGUCUGCAACUCGACUGCGUGAAGUCGGAAUCGCUAGUAAUCGUGGAUCAGAAUGUCACGGUGAAUACGUUCCCGGGUCUU
rnacentral:rRNA from 1 species